AUCUUCAGCCCUAGCAUUGUUAUGGAAUUAAAAAUUUUCCUUUUUGAUCCAUUGAUUAAGGUUUCCUGUCCCGAAUGACAAAAUAAGCUGGAUAAAGCAAAGCUAAUACAUAUUACUUGGUUGAGAAUUUAGUUUUGGGACCUGAGUUUUGCUAGGUUUCUCGGGACCUGAGUUUUGCUAGGUUUCCGGGACCUGAGUUUUGAACACGUUCAUCCAUUGUGAGAAAGAAUUGGAUGUGGAUCGGAUAAGACUUUGCUAUUCACUUUAUAUAUGCUUAUUAGAAUCAUCUUAUAUGAUAAGACUUUGCUAUUCUUUUUUUAGCAAUUUCUCAGCAAAUGUGACGUGUUCAAGGCUUAUAUGAUCUCAAAAUUAUUUCAGUGACACUGACCUCUUAUCUCUCAACCAUCAAUUAGCUUUUUUAGACAAAUUGGGUCAACCUGUAGACCUUUCAUCUGGUUUAUAAUGGUUCAAAUCAAUGACUUGCAAGGGUCAUUUCAUCGUUCUUCAAAUUCAGCCUUGCAUUGGCACAUUUGUUUUUCAGAACACCCAAACACUCAACUUACUUUUUGAUAUAUUCAACAUUUAUGACUUUUAAGAUGAAAUUGUUGCGCUUAUGUCAUUUUUAAGUUUUUCUUCCUUGCAUUUGUGGUACAGAGUAAAGUCAACUUGCCAAGGUAUUCUUGCUAAUUACUUGUGUAAACAAAUUUAUUUUAUUCUUGGAACCUUCAUAGCACUAAUUCAAUUAGCAUUCAUGUAAUUCAAUUUGGUGAACAUAUUCUUACAUUAUGAAACAUCAUAGCACUAAUUUGGUGAAUAUAUUUGUCAUGAAAUUUGCAGGUAGAUCUUCAUGUGGAUGUCAAUUGCUAUCUGAGAUCUUCAUGUGGUUGAAAUGAGUCUUAUGUUGUACAAGCAUAGAUGUAUGAAUGGUGUAAUGUUUUGUGUUCAAUAAUUAGAUGUUGUUAAAGGACAGGAAUUGCUGCUUAUAUCCUUCAUAUGGUUGUGUUAUUUUAUUUUUUUUUAAUGUAUAAUUGCUGCUUAUAUCCUUCA